AGUGAACGCUGGCGGUAGGCCUAACACAUGCAAGUCGAACGGCAGCACAGUAAGAUCUUGCUCUUACGGGUGGCGAGUGGCGGACGGGUGACGAAUACAUCGGAAUCUACUUUUUCGUGGGGGAUCACGUAGGGAAACUUACGCUAAUACCUCAUACGACCUACGGGUGAAAGCAGUGGAUCUUCGGACCUUGCGCGAUUGAAUGAGCCGAUGUCGGAUUAGCUAGUUGGCGGGGUAAAGGCCCACCAAGGCGACGAUCCGUAGCUGGUCUGAGAGGAUGAUCAGCCACACGGGAACUGAGACACGGUCAAGACUCCUACGGGAGGCAGCAGUGGGGAAUAUUGGACAAUGGGCGCAAGCCUGAUCCAGCCAUACCGAGUGGGUGAAGAAGGCCUUCGGGUUGUAAAGCCCUUUUGUUGGGAAAGAAAAGCAGCAGGUUAAUACCCCGCUGUUCUGACGGUACCCAAAGAAUAAGCACCGGCUAACUUCGUG
rnacentral:rRNA from 1 species